GCCCCGUUCGUCUAGCGGCCCAGGACAUUGGGUUCUCAGUCCAACGACACGGGUUCGAGUCCCGUACGGGGUA
rnacentral:tRNA from 1 species